UCGUAGACUCCUACGGGAGGCAGCAGUGGGGAAUAUUGCACAAUGGGCGGAAGCCUGAUGCAGCAACGCCGCGUGCGGGAUGACGGCCUUCGGGUUGUAAACCGCUUUCGCCGUGACGAAGCGUGAGUGACCGGUAAUGGGUAAAGAAGCACCGGCUAACUACGUGCCAGCAGCCGCGGUGAUACGUAGGGUGCGAGCGUUGUCCGGAUUUAUUGGGCGUAAAGGGCUCGUAGGUGGUUGAUCGCGUCGGAAGUGUAAUCUUGGGGCUUAACCCUGAGCGUGCUUUCGAUACGGGUUGACUUGAGGAAGGUAGGGGAGAAUGGAAUUCCUGGUGGAGCGGUGGAAUGCGCAGAUAUCAGGAGGAACACCAGUGGCGAAGGCGGUUCUCUGGGCCUUUCCUGACGCUGAGGAGCGAAAGCGUGGGGAGCGAACAGGAUUAGAUACCCUGGUAG
rnacentral:rRNA from 1 species